rnacentral:rRNA from 1 species
AACGAACGCUGGCGGCAGGCUUACACAUGCAAGUCGAACGGCAGCACGGGGGCAACCCUGGUGGCGAGUGGCGAACGGGUGAGUAAUGCAUCGGAACGUGCCCAGUAGUGGGGGAUAACCCGGCGAAAGCCGGGCUAAUACCGCAUACGACCUACGGGUGAAAGCGGGGGACCGUAAGGCCUCGCGCUAUUGGAGCGGCCGAUGUCUGAUUAGCUAGUUGGCGGGGUAAAGGCCCACCAAGGCGGCGAUCAGUAGCUGGUCUGAGAGGACGACCAGACACACUGGGACUGAGACACGGCCCAGACUCCUACGGGAGGCAGCAGUGGGGAAUUUUGGACAAUGGGCGCAAGCCUGAUCCAGCCAUGCCGCGUGCGGGAAGAAGGCCCUCGGGUUGUAAACCGCUUUUGGCAGGAACGAAACGGCGCAAGCUAAUACCUUGCGCUAAUGACGGUACCUGCAGAAUAGGCACCGGCUAACCACGUGCCAGCAGCCGCCGUAAUAC